rnacentral:rRNA from 1 species
UGGGGAAUUUUGGGCAAUGGGCGAAAGCCUGACCCAGCAACGCCGCGUGAAGGAUGAAGUAUUUCGGUAUGUAAACUUCGUAAGAAUAGGAAGAAUAAAUGACGGUACUAUUUGUAAGGUCCGGCUAACUACGUGCCAGCAGCCGCGGUAAUACGUAGGGACCAAGCGUUGUUCGGAUUUACUGGGCGUAAAGGGCGCGUAGGCGGCGUGGUAAGUCAUCUGUGAAAUCUCCGAGCUUAACUCGGAACGGUCAGAUGAUACUGCUGUGCUAGAGUACAGAAGGGGCAAUCGGAAUUCUUGGUGUAGCGGUGAAAUGCGUAGAUAUCAAGAGGAACACCUGAGGUGAAGACGGGUUGCUGGGCUGAUACUGACGCUGAGGCGCGAAAGCUAGGGUAGCAAACGGGAUUAGAUACCCGUGUAGUCCCUGAGCGGGCUGGCAAGGCGCAU